GAUGAAGAACGCAGCAAAAUGCGAUAAGUAAUGUGAAUUGCAGAAUUCAGUGAAUCAUCGAAUCUUUGAACGCACAUUGCGCCCGCCAGUAUUCUGGCGGGCAUGUCUGUUCGAGCGUCAUUUCAACCCUCAAGCACAGCUUGGUGUUGGGACUCGCGUUAAUUCGCGUUCCCCAAAUUGAUUGGCGGUCACGUCGAGCUUCCAUAGCGUAGUAGUAAAACCCUCGUUACUGGUAAUCGUCGCGGCCACGCCGUUAAACCCCAACUUCUGAAUGUUGACCUCGGAUCAGGUAGGAAUACCCGCUGAACUUAAGCAUAUCAAUAAGCGGAGGA
rnacentral:misc_RNA from 1 species